GGCUGCGGGAGGAACGGCAGCGCCAGGCAGGGCUGCUGUGCCCGUGAGAACCCUCGUGGCCAUCCGGACCCGUCUGAGCAGGGCCCGACUCGCCCUGCGGCGAGCAGAAAGAGCUGAUCGCGAUGGAGGGGGUCGGGAAGCGUCGGGCUGGGAGUCGUCAGAUCCCGUGUGGAAGGAGCGAGCGGGGCCCGGCUUUGUGCUCCACGCGCUCCCACAGCGAGGCCGGACUGAACUCCCGGUCACGGCGAGGCACAGCUCGUGUCUGUGAGCCUCUGCUGCUCCUCCGCUGUUCUUACGGGCCGGGCGAUGACCGGGAGCCUCCCCUGGGAUUGAGGCCGUGGAGGGUAAACCACCUACACGAGGGUAAAGAGGAGCUAAAUAUCCCUGUUAAAAAUAAUACCCUCGCAUUCAGCACAUUCUGCGCGGAGGAGGAAAGUGCCGGUGUCCCCAGGGCGAUCUGCGUGUGCUCUUGGCCAGGAACAAAUGAAAGAAAGGCCUUCUCUGUGCCCACACCAUCGUCCCUUUCCUGCCCCGCACAGUGGAAUGGCCACGGCCGCUUCUCUGCUCCUCACGUUUUGCAGCACGUCGAGCUCCACGUUCGCUCCUCAUCAGCAGUUUAUUUCCCUUUAAUUCAUUGAUUGUCUGAGAUACCGAGCAGACAAAAACCAGUUCCCUUCUUUCCCCUGCCCCUCAGGUCGUUGGGGACUAGAAAUUCAAUAGGGGCUGGAAUCUCCACCUCCUUUGAUGCCUCCAAAGGUCCGUCUGCAGGCGCCCAGCCUGGACGGGAGGUCAGGGAGGCUGUCCCCAGCACGGGGACAGCAGAGGAUGGAUGGGGACAGGCAUCUUCCUGCUGCUGCCCCUGCCUCAGCUUCUCCCCCGUCCCCCAGACCGGCUCCGUUUCUCGGCUGUUGCUAGGGGAGAUGGAGAAGAGCACUUGAUUGAAAGCUUCCUGCAAGUGGCACCGAGUCUAAAUAUUGCCAUUCCUACGCAAGCGAACCCAGCAGCGUGACUCCAGGACAGCGAGGUGGAACUCCUGUCCCGUGUGAACUCCAGUGCUCCCUGCAGCCCCGGCCCCGUGUCUUCCACCACCCGACGGCGAGAUGAUCUGAGCAAAUUAUAAGACGGUGCUUUGGACCAACUUAGCUCAAGAUCAGAAGGGAGACUAAUUUCACAUCUUCGCCGCCGCAGAAGGCAAUUAAAUGGCUCUGCGAAGUUUGAGCACAGGUUAGGACAAGAAAUUUUACAAUCAGAAAUCCCAACACCUGCGGCCAGCAGCGCUGCCUGCUCGAGUCAUGGGAGGACGUUCCGAGCCUCCUGAGUGCUCCCAGGGCUUGGAGAGCCAACGUCCUCUGCUCGGGUUCCUCUCUGCUGGGUUUUCCUUGGAUUUGUGGCAACGCAGGCACCAGAAUUAAUUAAAAACUCAAACCAAUAACCACCUGCCCGAACCUCUCCCGUCUGACGGCUCACAGAGCUGGGUGCCUCCCUCUCUGCAUCCCGCAGUACCCGCCAGGCAGGCACCGAAACGGCCCCGCUCUGCUCAGCUCCAAGGCAGGAGAAAACGCUGCUGGGCGCCCAUGGGGCCGAAGGCAGCAGCCCCUGGCACAACGAGGGUGAGUGGGACCGAUCGCACGGAGCCAUUAGCAUGCAAUGCGGAGGAACACGUAUUUUUGGGAGCCCUGCCUGGCUUGCGGCCUUGUGGUGGGGGGAGGCGGUGGGAUGCAGGGAGAGGUGCCUCGUCCCCCCCGGGAGUGCUGCUGGAGGUGCAGCUCCUUCCUCAAGGCCCUGAAUCAUCCCCGCUGCCAUCUGCUGCACCCUCGCUCUUCCCUGCAGAUGUCCUUCUUCCUUCCCCAGAAGGAGAUGAGAACUGAGGAUGAGGUGCCAAAUGCGACUUCAAACAGCAUCUAAUAAAACACGGGAUUAAUUUCUUCUGACUGCUGUUCGAUGGCUCUGAUUAAGCAGAGCAGAAUUUAAUUAGCUUGUUUGGACUGCCUCUAAACCCAUGCCAAAGGUGGGGGAGCCUCAGUGUCCGGGUCCCCCAGUGUCCAUGAGCUGCUGGGGUAGCCUGUGCUGCCCGACUGAGCAGAGCCUGCUGCACACCCAACCAGGCUGGCAGCAGUUUUGAGAUCCCCAGAACCUCCUUCAUCUCUGCAAGCCCCCCUGCAGCCAGGAUGGGGGCCGUGUGCUGGAUGUGCUGCUGGUGGCAAUAGGGAUGGAAACAUGGAGCCUCUCAGCGUAAACCGAACUCAUCCUGCUGCUGAGUCCUUGAGUUCAAGUAACCCUGUUCUCUCCCUGAUUUACUACGAGUUGCUGGCUCCUCUUCUCUCCCUCCUCCUGUCUCCUUUAACCCAUUUCAUUAUCUAUGCUAGCUUAGGCUUGCCUACGUGGGAACAUCACGGUGAGGUUAUUGCAAAAUAGAUGGGCUGUGAAUGCGAAAUGCGG
ensembl:lncRNA